rnacentral:rRNA from 1 species
GUGCCAGCCGCCGCGGUAAUACGUAGGGUGCGAGCGUUGUCCGGAAUUAUUGGGCGUAAAGGGCUCGUAGGCGGUUUGUCGCGUCGGGAGUGAAAACCUCGGGCUUAACUCGGGGCUUGCUUUCGAUACGGGCAGACUGGAGGUAUGCAGGGGAGAACGGAAUUCCUGGUGUAGCGGUGAAAUGCGCAGAUAUCAGGAGGAACACCGGUGGCGAAGGCGGUUCUCUGGGCAUGACCUGACGCUGAGGAGCGAAAGUGUGGGGAGCGAACAGGAUUAGAUACCCGGGUAGUCC